GUUAAUGUUUAUAUCACCACACUCUGCAGCCCAAGAUGUCGUUACUUACUGAAGCUAAGCAGGGCUGAGCCUGGUUAGUACCUGAAUGGAUGACCACAUGGGAAAACCAUGUUGCUGUUUUAA
rnacentral:rRNA from 1 species